rnacentral:misc_RNA from 1 species
CUGAGUUUACGCUCAUAACCCUUUGUGAACAUACCUACAAUCGUUGCUUCGGCGGUGCGGGCCCCCAGCGGCCCCCCCGGCCCCCCACAGGGGGCGCCCGCCGGAGGCCAAUACACUCCAGUUUCCGAACGAAGUCUCCUCUGAGUGGCACAAGCAAAAAUUUAUCA